AUGGCGGGUGAAAAGGCGGAGAAGCCUGAUACAAAGGAGAAGAAACCUGCAGCCAAGAAGGCUGGAAGUGAUGAUGGCACCUCUGGUCCCUGGGCCACUGGUGCAGCCAAAAAGGGUAAAGCCCAGGAAGGGGAAGCCCCGUUGCAGUCAAAACCCUGCCCUGGUGAGAGGAAUUGGCAGGUACUCCCGAUCUGCUAUGUACUCCAGGAAGGCCUGGUACAAAAGGAAAUACUCGGCUGCCAAGUCCAAGGUUGAGAAGAAGAAGAAAAGGGAGAAGGUCCUUGCUACUGUCACCAAAACAGUUGAUGGGGACAAGAACGGUGGCACCCUGGUGGUGAAGCUUCAAAAAAUGCCUAGGUAUUAUCCCACCGAAGACGUGCCUCGGAAGCUGCUGACAUGGCACGGAGCCCUUCCGCAGCAGUGAGACGGCUGCGCUCCAGCAUCACUCCCGGGUCGGUCCUGGUCCAUCAUCCUCACUGGCACCACAGGGACAAGAGAGUGCUUCUUCUGAAGCAGCUGGGCAGUGGCUUGCUACUUGUGACUGGACCUCUUGCCAUCAACAGAGUACCUCUACGUAGAACACACCGGAAGUUUGUCAUCGCCACCUCUACAAAAGCUGCUAUCAGCGAGGUUAAAAUCCCCAAACACCUGACUGACGCUUACUUCAAGAAGCAGCAGCCUCAAGCUCAGGCAUCAGGAGGGCGAGAACUUCCACACAGAGAAGGAGAAAUGUGAGAUACAGAGCAGUGAAAGGCUGAUCAGAAAACGGUGGACUCACAGAUUUUGCCAAAGAUUAAACCGUUCCCCAGCUUCAAGGCUACCUGCGAUCUCAGUUCUCCCUAACAAACAGGAUGUAACCUCAUAAACUGGUGUUUUAA
rnacentral:lncRNA from 1 species